GGAUCCAGCACCUCCCAUCCCCUCAAAUCCCGUCUUUUCCUCGGGAGCCGGAGCACAUCCAGGGAUGUGGGUGCCCUCAGGAGGGGGAUCAGCCCAAACGGGAGCCCCAAAGCCAUGGAUGGGGUGCCCGGGGGGGGGGGCUCCUGCCCCAAGCAGAAUGGGAAUGGGGAGAGGAGAUGCUCGGGGGAUGCAGGAUUUCCCUCCGGAGCUGGGAAUGGCUCUGAGGAGGCGUCUCCUGCCGUGAAGCACAAGUUGGGAACAACCCAAAAUUUUAAGCACCAGAGUGCUCGUCUGAGUUAAAUUCCCAAGUGGAGGAAACAAUCCUUGGGGUCAAAAUCAAGGCCUUCUGCUGGAAUUAAAACCAUCCCAAGCUCUGGAGAUGAAUGGGGUCAAGUCACACCUGCCCAAAGGGCUGGAAAAGCUCCUGGAAUUACACAUUGUUGGAACCCUCCACCCUGCUCUGGGCAGCAGAGGCAUUCCCAGGGAAACACAUGGGCAUUUCUGGGAGCAGGCAGGAUCUCUGUGUGGACAGGGAUGUGCUUCUAUCGGGAAAGGCCUGUGGUGGAAGUCCAGAGUCUCCCCCAAAAGCUGCCCAGGGAAGGAAACAACACAUUUCCUACAGCUCCAGUCACGUGCUGGGAACAGCCAGGCCUGGGAUACCUCAUGGAGCAGAAUUCCCAGUGUCCAGCUGCUGUUCUUUGCCUUCAAACACAAGUCAGGUGUGGUCAAGGCUGGGCUUUAUAAAGGAUAAAUUUGCAGUUCUCAGGGUGGAAAACGCGAUCCAAGGAGCCAGGAGGUUCUUUCCAGCUGGUGGUGGAAGAAAGGAGAGGAUUCCAUGGGGGAACACACUCGGCCCCUUGCUCAGGAGAGCCAAAUCUGGGAUUCUCCCCCAUUUUCCAAAGCAAUUGGGUACUGUUUAAUAAAAAAGGCUGACUUUGGCA